GAAGGGAGAGCUUGCUCUUCUGGAUGAGUUGCGAACGGGUGAGUAACGCGUAGGUAACCUGCCUGGUAGCGGGGGAUAACUAUUGGAAACGAUAGCUAAUACCGCAUAAUAGUAGAUGUUGCAUGACAUUUGCUUAAAAGGUGCAAUUGCAUCACUACCAGAUGGACCUGCGUUGUAUUAGCUAGUUGGUGGGGUAACGGCUCACCAAGGCGACGAUACAUAGCCGACCUGAGAGGGUGAUCGGCCACACUGGGACUGAGACACGGCCCAGACUCCUACGGGAGGCAGCAGUAGGGAAUCUUCGGCAAUGGACGGAAGUCUGACCGAGCAACGCCGCGUGAGUGAAGAAGGUUCUCGGAUCGUAAAGCUCUGUUGUAAGAGAAGAACGAGUGUGAGAGUGGAAAGUUCACACUGUGACGGUAUCUUACCAGAAAGGGACGGCUAACUACGUGCCAGCAGCCGCGGUAAUACGUAGGUCCCGAGCGUUGUCCGGAUUUAUUGGGCGUAAAGCGAGCGCAGGCGGUUAGAUAAGUCUGAAGUUAAAGGCUGUGGCUUAACCAUAGUACGCUUUGGAAACUGUUUAACUUGAGUGCAAGGGGGGAGAGUGGAAUUCCAUGUGUAGCGGUGAAAUGCGUAGAUAUAUGGAGGAACACCGGUGGCGAAAGCGG
rnacentral:rRNA from 1 species